AGGCNGGACUCGCGAAUGNCUUACGNUUAAGUUUGAUCAUGGCUCAGAUCGAACGCUUACGGCAGGCCUAACACAUGCAAGUCGAGCGGAUGACGGGAGCUUGCUCCUUGAUUCAGCGGCGGACGGGUGAGUAAUGCCUAGGAAUCUGCCUGUCUACUGGGGGACCCCNNUNCCGAAAGGAACGCUAAUACCGCAUACGUCCUACGGGAGAAAGCAGGGGACCUUCGGGCCUUGCGCUAUCAGAUGAGCCUAGGUCGGAUUAGCUAGUUGGUGAGGUAAUGGCUCACCAAGGCGACGAUCCGUAACUGGUCUGAGAGGAUGAUCAGUCACACUGGAACUGAGACACGGUCCAGACUCCUACGGGAGGCAGCAGU
rnacentral:rRNA from 1 species